GGUUGCGAUCAUACCUGCACUAAUGCACCGGAUCCCAUUAGAACUCCGCAGUUAAGCGUGCUUGGGCGAGAGUAGUACUAGGAUGGGUGACCCCCUGGGAAGUCCUCGUGUUGCAACCC
rnacentral:rRNA from 1 species